rnacentral:snRNA from 1 species
AUCCUUAUGCACGGGAA